rnacentral:tRNA from 2 species
AGGUCUAUCGCCAAGCGGUAAGGCUACGGGUUCUGAUCCCGUCAUCCCAGGUUCGAAUCCUGGUAGACCUGCCA